AUGUCACAUGUCUCUCAAGAGGUAGACAGAUAGUCAGCCUGUCCUUCGCUGCAGUUGCACUUCCAAAUGGUGGUUGGACUUUGGGUUGAGUUGUUGUUCAGAAGAUCUGUUGAGUCAUCGAGGUCCUCCAUCCUGUUUAGCCUUAAUCCCUCCAGUCAAUGUCAUCACAUGUUGGAAUAGACCUGCACUUCAAACCUCAACUGAUUACCAACAUAGCAGGCUUACAAUACGUUGUCGGUAAUUCAGCAUUUAGGCCCCACCCUAGUCAUAUUAUGAUGAAGAUAGAGGCCUAGGUUUGUAAUAAUAUAUAUAAUAUAUAUAUGCCAUUUCACAGACACUUUUAUCCAAAGCGACUUACAGUCAUUAAUUCCAAAGUAAUCUAAGUCAUGUUAAAUUGGAUUCACUGAUAUCCAUUCAGUAUGACUGGUUUGUAAGAAAGGGAGUGAGAGACGGACAAUAGUUGACUUAUAGGCACAUUCUCUAUGGCAGGGUUCCCCAACUGGCAGGUGAUUUUAUUUGGCCACCCAAGUUAUCUGAGCCAAACAAAAAUGUAUUUGAAUAAUCAUCAUUUUUGGUUGGAAUUUUCAUUGGUGGACAUAAGACUGUAAAAACACCAGAAAAUCAGCUCCAAGUGAUUUUAACUUUGGAAAUCUGUUACAAAGUAUUCCCACGCAUAAUAGAGAGACAUGAUUGUAUACAAAUGUAAGCAAGGUUUGAAAUUAUUAUGUUAUUAUCUGUUUGGGCUUCUUGCAGUCAAUUUGCAGUCUACAAAUGAUUUGUAACUAUGUUCCGGCCCACCGACCAUCCGCUCAAGAAAAAAUAGUCCUGAAUCUAGUUGAUGAUCCCUGCUCUAUGGUUUAUCUAAGGAGCCACUGAUGUCAGUACAGUAUCCUUGUGACUUUCCUGUUGCCAUGUAAACAGGCCUUGUCCUCAGUCAGCUCCCUACCCACACAUCACACAUCAGCCAGAAAGAUCAUAAACUGAACGGAAGGCCUUUAAACCAAUGUUUCAGGUACCUAUAGAGAGUCAAAGCCUGGAUCCCAGUUUUCUGCUAGCCAGGGCCUGUAUCCAUAAAGUGUCUCAGAGUAGAGGAGUGCUGAUCUAGGAGGAGGAGUGCUGAUCUAUGAGGUAGGAGUGCUGAUCUAUGAGGAGGAGUGCUGAUCUAGGAGGAGGAGGGCUGAUCUAGGAGGUAGGAGUGUUGAUCUAGGAGGAGGAGUGCUGAUCUAGGAGGAGGAGUGCUGAUCUAGGAGGAGGAGUGCUGAUCUAGGAGGUAGCAGUGCUGAUCUAGGAGGUAGGAGUGCUGAUCUAGGAGAAAGAGUGCUGAUCUAGGAGGUAGGAGUGCUGAUCUAGGAGGUAGGAGUGCUGAUCUAGAAGGUAGGAGUGCUGAUCUAGGAGGUAGGAGUGCUGAUCUAGAAGGUAGGAGUGCUGAUCUAGGAGGAGGAGUGCUGAUCUAGGAGGUAGGAGUGCUGAUCUAGGAGGUAGGAGUGCUGAUCUAGGAGGAGGAGUGCUGAUCUAGGAGGUAGGAGUGCUGAUCUAGGAGGAGGAGUGCUGAUCUAGGUGGAGGAGUGCUGAUAUAAGAGGAGGAGUGCUGAUCUAGGAGGUAGGAGUGCUGAUCUAGGAGGUAGAGUGCUGUUCUAGGAGGUAGGAGUGCUGCUCUAGGAGGUAGGAGUGCUGAUCUAGGAGGUAGGAGUGCUGAUCUAGGAGAUAGGAGUGCUUAUCUGAGGUAGGAGUGCUGAUCUAUGAGGUAGGAGUGCUGAUCUCGGAGGAGGAGUGGUGAUCUCGGAGGUAGGAGUGUUUAUCUUGGAGUAGGAGUAUUGAAACUGAUCCUAGAUCAGCACUACUCUGAGACACAUACAGGCCCUGGUAUCAUGUCUCAUUGUGCUGUUUUGCCAACAACCUGGAGACAGCAAAACAGACCAAACAGCCCACGGACCAGGCUAGUUUCCUGCCAUGUUGUCUGUCUAUAUGAAUAUCCUCUGACUGUGUAUUAGUGGGCCAGUGUGCCGGCUGGAUGUCUUGUCUAGUCUAAAGCACCCGCCGGUAGCAGCAUGCACAGGCCUGUUGCUGAGUGUCUGAUGUACCCACUCAUCACACUGAGUCUAGGGGCACUGAGUCAACUCAUGAACUCAAGUGGCACACACACACACAGCAUAUGAAUGAGUGUGUUGUUUCACAAUGAUCCUUUGUCAUGCUGUCUCUGGCUGUCAGGUCACAGCAAAACUGUUAG